rnacentral:rRNA from 1 species
GGUGAACGCUGGCGGCGUGCCUAAUACAUGCAAGUCGAGCGAACGGACGAGAAGCUUGCUUCUCUGAUGUUAGCGGCGGACGGGUGAGUAACACGUGGAUAACCUACCUAUAAGACUGGGAUAACUUCGGGAAACCGGAGCUAAUACCGGAUAAUAUUUUGAACCGCAUGGUUCAAAAGUGAAAGACGGUCUUGCUGUCACUUAUAGAUGGAUCCGCGCUGCAUUAGCUAGUUGGUAAGGUAACGGCUUACCAAGGCAACGAUGCAUAGCCGACCUGAGAGGGUGAUCGGCCACACUGGAACUGAGACACGGUCCAGACUCCUACGGGAGGCAGCAGUAGGGAAUCUUCCGCAAUGGGCGAAAGCCUGACGGAGCAACGCCGCGUGAGUGAUGAAGGUCUUCGGAUCGUAAAACUCUGUUAUUAGGGAAGAACAUAUGUGUAAGUAACUGUGCACAUCUUGACGGUACCUAAUCAGAAAGCCACGGCUAACUACGUGCCAGCAGCCGCGGUAAUACGUAGGUGGCAAGCGUUAUCCGGAAUUAUUGGGCGUAAAGCGCGCGUAGGCGGUUUUUUAAGUCUGAUGUGAAAGCCCACGGCUCAACCGUGGAGGGUCAUUGGAAACUGGAAAACUUGAGUGCAGAAGAGGAAAGUGGAAUUCCAUGUGUAGCGGUGAAAUGCGCAGAGAUAUGGAGGAACACCAGUGGCGAAGGCGACUUUCUGGUCUGUAACUGACGCUGAUGUGCGAAAGCGUGGGGAUCAAACAGGAUUAGAUACCCUGGUAGUCCACGCCGUAAACGAUGAGUGCUAAGUGUUAGGGGGUUUCCGCCCCUUAGUGCUGCAGCUAACGCAUUAAGCACUCCGCCUGGGGAGUACGACCGCAAGGUUGAAACUCAAAGGAAUUGACGGGGACCCGCACAAGCGGUGGAGCAUGUGGUUUAAUUCGAAGCAACGCGAAGAACCUUACCAAAUCUUGACAUCCUUUGACAACUCUAGAGAUAGAGCCUUCCCCUUCGGGGGGGGCAAAGUGACAGGUGGUGCAUGGUUGUCGUCAGCUCGUGUCGUGAGAUGUUGGGUUAAGUCCCGCAACGAGCGCAACCCUUAAGCUUAGUUGCCAUCAUUAAGUUGGGCACUCUAAGUUGACUGCCGGUGACAAACCGGAGGAAGGUGGGGAUGACGUCAAAUCAUCAUGCCCCUUAUGAUUUGGGCUACACACGUGCUACAAUGGACAAUACAAAGGGCAGCGAAACCGCGAGGUCAAGCAAAUCCCAUAAAGUUGUUCUCAGUUCGGAUUGUAGUCUGCAACUCGACUACAUGAAGCUGGAAUCGCUAGUAAUCGUAGAUCAGCAUGCUACGGUGAAUACGUUCCCGGGUCU